CUCCUUUGACGUUAGCGGCGGACGGGUGAGUAACACGUGGGUAACCUACCUAUAAGACUGGGAUAACUUCGGGAAACCGGAGCUAAUACCGGAUAAUAUUUCGAACCGCAUGGUUCGACAGUGAAAGAUGGUUUUGCUAUCACUUAUAGAUGGACCCGCGCCGUAUUAGCUAGUUGGUAAGGUAACGGCUUACCAAGGCGACGAUACGUAGCCGACCUGAGGGGGUGAUCGGCCACACUGGAACUGAGACACGGUCCAGACUCCUACGGGAGGCAGCAGGA
rnacentral:rRNA from 1 species